CUGACGCAGCAACGCCGCGUGAGGGAUGAAGGUCUGCGGAUCGUAAACCUCUGUCUAGAGGGACGAAUGCCCUGGUCGCCAGGGAGUGACGGUACCUCUGGAGGAAGCCCCGGCUAACCUACGUGCCAGCAGCCGCGGUAAUACGUAGGGGGCCAGCGUUGUCCGGAUUUACUGGGCGUAAAGAGCGCGUAGGCGGUUUGGUUAGCGGAGGGUGAAAUCCCGGGGCUCAACUCCGGGGCUGCUCUCCGAACUGCCAGACUAGAGUACGGGAGAGGGCAGUGGAAUUCCUGGUGUAGCGGUGGAAUGCGUAAAUAUCAGGAGGAACACCUGUGGCGAAGGCUGCUGCCUGGAACGUUACUGACGCUGAGGCGCGAAAGCUAGGGGAGCGAACGGGAUUAGAUACCCCGGUAGUCCUAGCCGUAAACGAUGGACACUAGGUGUUGCCGGCAUCGACCCCGGCAGUGCUGUUCUGCUAACGCGUUAAGUGUCCCGCCUGGGGAGUACGGCCGCAAGGUUGAAACUCAAAGGAAUUGACGGGGGCCCGCACAAGCGGUGGAGCAUGUUGGUUAAUUGGAUGAUACGCCAAGAACCUUACCAGGGCUUGAAAUGGGAGGGACAGCCGGUGAAAGCCGGUCUCCGUAGCAAUACGGCCCUUUCACAGGUGGUGCAUGGUUGUCGUCAGCUCGUGUCGUGAGAUGUUGGGUUAAGUCCCGCAACGAGCGCAACCCUCGCCGGAUGUUGCCA
rnacentral:rRNA from 1 species